UUGAGUUUCUCACAAAAAAAAACUCCCUCUCCAUCCAAACCGUCCUCAAAAACCUUCUCCAGGCACAGGUCGGUGCGCCGGCUCCCAGGACAGAGGCUAGGUUGUCUUGUCGAAAAGCCCUGAGUGCUCGGCAUGAAAGGAACCGCUCCGGGUCACUGUAUAGCGGAGGCCAUUAUCAGUGGAUGGGGAAUCGACACGGGCUGUUGGAACCCUGAUGGUAUUUCUUCCUAUUAGAGGUCGUGAAUAUAACGAACCUUAUCUAAUCCAUGAAGUGAAACAGUCAAACGGAAGACUAUGGAACCAUGGAGAUGCGGCAAGACCAGCAUAUCACCAUUCUGUCCAUAAUAAUCAACUCGAAUAUGUAGGCUACAUAUUGUUUGAGAAAUUCAUUUGUGAGUUAAAGGGACAGUCUUCACUUCAAACAAUUACAAAGUGGAUACCCUGCCUCUGUUUUGGUAAAAAGCUGAGGGAAGAGCAUGGAGAAAUGUAACCACUCUAAAAUGCAUAGAUAGCGCGUUGGAUGCAAGGACUGACCACCUAAGAUAUCAAAAUAGUUUUAAGCAUGUUCUGUAGCUAAAUAUGUGUAAACCAAUACAAUUUGAUUUGGUUUGUUUGUUUACAUUUGCAAUGUUUACAAACAAGUUUAUAUUUUGGUUCUGAUGGGGUAGGACAGUUGAACUAAGCUUAUGAGGCAUUUAUACGCUAUAUUCUUCAAGAAUCAAUGGGCAACGGGUAUUCACACACCCCUUGACUUUUUAAACAUUUUGUUGUGUUACAAAGUGGGAUUCAAAUUCAAAAUUAAUUGUAUUUUUUUUUUGUCAACGACCUACACAAAAUACUGUAACAUUUGUCUAAAAAAUGUAUGGAAAAUAAAACACAAAUGUAUUUUGAUUA